rnacentral:rRNA from 1 species
GCGCAGGCGGAGAUGUAAGCCAGACGUGAAAUCCCGAAGCUCAACUUCGGAACUGCAUUUGGAACUACAUCCCUUGAGGAUAGGCGGAGAGAACGGAAUUCCACGUGUAGCGGUGAAAUGCGUAGAUAUGUGGAAGAACACCCGUGGCGAAGGCGGUUCUCUAGCUUAUUCCUGACGCUCAAGCCCGAAAGCGAGGGGAGCGAACA